rnacentral:rRNA from 1 species
ACGGCUCAGUAACACGUAGUCAACAUGCCCAGGGGACGUGGAUAACCUCGGGAAACUGAGGAUAAACCGCGAUAGGUCAUAGUAUCUGGAAUGAUUUAUGGCUCAAAUCUAUAUGGCCUCUGGAUUGGACUGCGGCCGAUCAGGCUGUUGGUGAGGUAAUGGCUCACCAAACCUAAAACCGGUACGGGCUCUGAGAGGAGAAGCCCGGAGAUGGGCACUGAGACAAGGGCCCAGGCCCUAUGGGGCGCAGCAGGCGCGAAAACUCUGCAAUAAGCGAAAGCUUGACAGGGUUAUUCUGAGUGAUUUCCGCUAAGGAAAUCUUUUGGCACCUCUAAAAAUGGUGCAGAAUAAGGGGUGGGCAAGCCUGGUGUCAGCCGCCGCGGUAAUACCAGCACCCCGAGUGGUCGGGACGAUUAUUGGGCCUAAAGCAUCCGUAGCCGGUUCUACAAGUCUUCCGUUAAAUCCACCUGCUCAACAGAUGGGCUGCGGAGGAUACUAUAGAGCUAGGAGGCGGGAGAGGCAAGCGGUACUUAGUGGGUAGGGGUAAAAUCCGUUGAUCCAUUGAAGACCACCAGUGGCGAAGGCGGCUUGCCAGAACGCACUCGACGGUGAGGGAUGAAAGCUGGGGGAGCAAACCGGAUUAGAUACCCGGGUAGUCCCAGCUGUAAACGAUGCAGACUCGGUGAUGAAUAGGCUUCGUGCCUAUUCAGUGCCGCAGGGAAGCCGUUAAGUCUGCCGCCUGGGGAGUACGGUCGCAAGACUGAAACUUAAAGGAAUUGGCGGGGGAGCA